AUGUUAUUUUUCCCCAGGGCUGGGUACUGGGGCCGGUUCUCUUUAACAUCUUUAUCAAUGAUCUGGACGAGGGGAUCGAGUGCACUCUCAGAGAAGGCUUGCUCUUCACUCUGCUGCUGGCUGUGGAGUUUGUCCAGAGAUGCCUCAGCACGGCCAUCUCCAGCCUGUGAGUACAAGAGGGUGCAGGGGGGACACGGAGACGAGGGGUGCCAGUGGGUCGGGGUGAGCAGGGUCAGGCUGGUGGUCAGGCUUCCCACCAGGAGACCCUGGCUCCUCCAAAAUCCCCGCUCCUCAGCUUGGAAGAGAAAGUGCCCCUGGGCAGGCAGGGCUCUGCCCUUGGCCACUGCUAAGCCCAGAACCCCCUCUUUGUCAGGAGAGAGACUGUCGCUGUGAACAGGAAGAGGCUCGUGGCGAUCCUCUUGGUGAUGAGCCUGGCUGCUCUCGGUGAGUCUGUCUGCUGCCAGCAGAGCACGGAGGCGGGGAGUGUGAGCUUCAGGGCGAGGGAGAGGAGCGAGCGGGGCCUUUCCAGCCUCCCGCCUCUGCAGCUCCAGGAGCUCCCUAGGUGCUCCCUGCAGGCGGAGCAGGGAGGGGAAUGGGGCUGUAGCUGUGGGGCACCAAGCGUGCCCGGGAACCAGGGCUGUCCCCCUCUGCCCCGAGGCCCAGGGAGAGGGUCCCUGCUUGGAGCCACAACCUCUCUCUGCCCCCUUUGCCCAUGUCCUCAGCCAGCCUCUUGCCAGCACCACGCUGGGGGAGAAGAAUGGCGGGACGGCAGGGAUCCUUAGAAACCCUCCUAAAGUAACUCUCUCUUGGGGAUGUGCAUUGCAGCUGCUGCCUGCUGGGGAAUCGUGCAGCUGACGUGGAGGCAGCGGGCAGAGGAUGUGCUGCAGGUGAGUGACUGCUGUUGUGGGACAGGAAAGGCCCAGAGGGGAGCCCCGCUGCUGGUGGGUGGGUACAUGGCCCCGUCCUGGGCUUCCAGGCAGUGACGCGGAGAACGGGCAGCAGCUUCUGCCAGCCCUUCCUGGAGCCACCAGCUCUGGAAAGGCCCGGCAGCUCUGGGACUCCAACGGAGAGCUUUUCUCUUUCAGAUUGGCUUUUCUGGUGGCCGCGUGGAACAAUCUCCCUGUCUGAGGAACGAGGUCGUGUGCCUGGCUGAUGAGAUGGACACCAUGAAGAAAGCGAUGCUGCAGGUAGGGAAGGAGGGCUGGGACCAGCUGGGCAGUGCCCAAGGCCCUUCUUGGAGCAGUGGUUGGGCUUUUCC
rnacentral:lncRNA from 1 species